rnacentral:lncRNA from 1 species
GCCCAGUUUUCAAGUUGGUCCAAAUUAGGAUUCCAUAUCAAGUAUUGUGCAAUAGCAAGAAAUUAUCAAUUGCACAGUAUUGCACAAUAGCAAGAAAUAUCUAAUUGCACAAUAUUGUGCAAUAGCAAUUAAUUUUCAAUUGGAGUUAUCUUUCUUUGUAUAGAAUAGUAGUUGAUAAUAUAUGUUGGAAAUUUGCCAGACAUGACUAUGAUGUCAUUUUCUAUUUUUAUUUGCCAAUAACUUUAUGUAAAUAACUUCAUUGGAAAUUUUCCAAUAUAAAAUGUUGCUGAUGAAGCUUUUU